UUAAGCGACUAAGCGUACACGGUGGAUGCCCUGGCAGUCAGAGGCGAUGAAGGGCGUGCUAAUCUGCGAUAAGCGCCGGUAAGGUGAUAUGAACCGUUAUAACCGGCGAUACCCGAAUGGGGAAACCCAGUGUGAUUCGUCACACUAUCAUUAACUGAAUCCAUAGGUUAAUGAGGCGAACCGGGGGAACUGAAACAUCUAAGUACCCCGAGGAAAAGAAAUCAACCGAGAUUCCCCCAGUAGCGGCGAGCGAACGGGGAGGAGCCCAGAGCCUGAAUCAGCAUGUGUGUUAGUGGAAGCGUCUGGAAAGGUGCGCGAUACAGGGUGACAGCCCCGUACACAAAAGCGCAUGUGCUGUGAGCUCGAUGAGUAGGGCGGGACACGUGGUAUCCUGUCUGAAUAUGGGGGGACCAUCCUCCAAGGCUAAAUACUCCUGACUGACCGAUAGUGAACCAGUACCGUGAGGGAAAGGCGAAAAGAACCCCGGCGAGGGGAGUGAAAAAGAACCUGAAACCGUGUACGUACAAGCAGUGGGAGCACAGGUUUACCUGUGUGACUGCGUACCUUUUGUAUAAUGGGUCAGCGACUUAUAUUCUGUAGCAAGGUUAACCGAAUAGGGGAGCCGGAGGGAAACCGAGUCUUAAUUGGGCGUUAAGUUGCAGGGUAUAGACCCGAAACCCGGUGAUCUAGCCAUGGGCAGGUUGAAGGUUGGGUAACACUAACUGGAGGACCGAACCGACUAAUGUUGAAAAAUUAGCGGAUGACCUGUGGCUGGGGGUGAAAGGCCAAUCAAACCGGGAGAUAGCUGGUUCUCCCCGAAAGCUAUUUAGGUAGCGCCUCGUGAAUUCAUCUCCGGGGGUAGAGCACUGUUUCGGCUAGGGGGCCAUCCCGGCUUACCAACCCGAUGCAAACUGCGAAUACCGGAGAAUGUUAUCACGGGAGACACACGGCGGGUGCUAACGUCCGUCGUGAAGAGGGAAACAACCCAGACCGCCAGCUAAGGUCCCAAAGUCAUGGUUAAGUGGGAAACGAUGUGGGAAGGCCCAGACAGCCAGGAUGUUGGCUUAGAAGCAGCCAUCAUUUAAAGAAAGCGUAAUAGCUCACUGGUCGAGUCGGCCUGCGCGGAAGAUGUAACGGGGCUAAACCAUGCACCGAAGCUGCGGCAGCGAACGUAUCACUUAAAGCGAUUCAGCGGGUUACGAUUGACGGAGCGAAGCGACGUCAAAGCGUAUACAAAGUCGAGUCGGUUUAAGGAUACGUUCGUUGGGUAGGGGAGCGUUCUGUAAGCCCGUGAAGGUGGCCUGUGAGGGUUGCUGGAGGUAUCAGAAGUGCGAAUGCUGACAUAAGUAACGAUAAAGCGGGUGAAAAGCCCGCUCGCCGGAAGACCAAGGGUUCCUGUCCAACGUUAAUCGGGGCAGGGUGAGUCGACCCCUAAGGCGAGGCCGAAAGGCGUAGUCGAUGGGAAACGGGUUAAUAUUCCCGUACUUGGUGUUACUGCGAAGGGGGGACGGAGAAGGCUAUGUUGGCCGGGCGACGGUUGUCCCGGUUUAAGCGUGUAGGUGUGUGUUCCAGGUAAAUCCGGUUCACUUUAACACUGAGGCGUGACGACGAGGCACUACGGUGCUGAAGCAACAAAUGCCCUGCUUCCAGGAAAAGCCUCUAAGCAUCAGGUAACACGAAAUCGUACCCCAAACCGACACAGGUGGUCAGGUAGAGAAUACCAAGGCGCUUGAGAGAACUCGGGUGAAGGAACUAGGCAAAAUGGUGCCGUAACUUCGGGAGAAGGCACGCUGACACGUAGGUGAAGUGAUUUACUCAUGGAGCUGAAGUCAGUCGAAGAUACCAGCUGGCUGCAACUGUUUAUUAAAAACACAGCACUGUGCAAACACGAAAGUGGACGUAUACGGUGUGACGCCUGCCCGGUGCCGGAAGGUUAAUUGAUGGGGUCAGCGUAAGCGAAGCUCCUGAUCGAAGCCCCGGUAAACGGCGGCCGUAACUAUAACGGUCCUAAGGUAGCGAAAUUCCUUGUCGGGUAAGUUCCGACCUGCACGAAUGGCGUAAUGAUGGCCAGGCUGUCUCCACCCGAGACUCAGUGAAAUUGAACUCGCUGUGAAGAUGCAGUGUACCCGCGGCAAGACGGAAAGACCCCGUGAACCUUUACUAUAGCUUGACACUGAACAUUGAGCCUUGAUGUGUAGGAUAGGUGGGAGGCUUUGAAGUGUGGACGCCAGUCUGCAUGGAGCCGACCUUGAAAUACCACCCUUUAAUGUUUGAUGUUCUAACGUGGACCCGUAAUCCGGGUUGCGGACAGUGUCUGGUGGGUAGUUUGACUGGGGCGGUCUCCUCCUAAAGAGUAACGGAGGAGCACGAAGGUUGGCUAAUCCUGGUCGGACAUCAGGAGGUUAGUGCAAUGGCAUAAGCCAGCUUGACUGCGAGCGUGACGGCGCGAGCAGGUGCGAAAGCAGGUCAUAGUGAUCCGGUGGUUCUGAAUGGAAGGGCCAUCGCUCAACGGAUAAAAGGUACUCCGGGGAUAACAGGCUGAUACCGCCCAAGAGUUCAUAUCGACGGCGGUGUUUGGCACCUCGAUGUCGGCUCAUCACAUCCUGGGGCUGAAGUAGGUCCCAAGGGUAUGGCUGUUCGCCAUUUAAAGUGGUACGCGAGCUGGGUUUAGAACGUCGUGAGACAGUUCGGUCCCUAUCUGCCGUGGGCGCUGGAGAACUGAGGGGGGCUGCUCCUAGUACGAGAGGACCGGAGUGGACGCAUCACUGGUGUUCGGGUUGUCAUGCCAAUGGCACUGCCCGGUAGCUAAAUGCGGAAGAGAUAAGUGCUGAAAGCAUCUAAGCACGAAACUUGCCCCGAGAUGAGUUCUCCCUGAGACUUAGAGUCUCCUGAAGGAACGUUGAAGACGACGACGUUGAUAGGCCGGGUGUGUAAGCGCAGCGAUGCGUUGAGCUAACCGGUACUAAUGAACCGUGAGGCUUAACCUU
rnacentral:rRNA from 1 species